AAUCAACGCUGGCGGCGUGCCUAACACAUGCAAGUCGAACGCGAAAGUCCCGCAAGGGAUUAGUAGAGUGGCAAACGGGUGAGUAACACGUGGGUGACCUGCCUUCGAGUGGGGGAUAACGUCCCGAAAGGGACGCUAAUACCGCAUGACAUCCUGUCUUUUAACAGGCGGAGAUCAAAGCUGGGGAUCGCAAGACCUAGCGCUUGAAGAGGGGCCCGCGUCUGAUUAGCUAGNGGUGAGGUAACGGCUCACCAAGGCGACGAUCAGUAUCCGGCCUGAGAGGGCGGACGGACACACUGGGACUGAGACACGGCCCAGACUCCUACGGAGGCAGCAGUGGGGAAUUGUUCGCAAUGGGCGCAAGCCUGACGACGCGACGCCGCGU
rnacentral:rRNA from 1 species